rnacentral:tRNA from 1 species
GGAGGGCCCAGCCGAGAGACGGCGACGGCGCCCGAUUCGAGAUCGGGUUGCGGGCUCAUCGUCCGCGUGCGGGUUCGACCCCCGCGCCCUCCG